GCGGGGUCUGCCGGCUCGCCCUCCCCUCGCCGACUAAGCCUGCCCUCCGACAACCGGGUCCCAUCCCCACAGCAAGACGGCUUCUCUUCCCCAGCACGGCGACGGGGGCUUCCCCUCAGCCGCCGCCGCUGCCGUCGCCGCCCGAGACCUGCCGCACUCGCGGCCGUCGGCCGCCAUGCAGUUUAUGUUGCUUUUUAGUCGUCAAGGAAAGCUUCGACUGCAGAAAUGGUAUGUCCCACUAUCAGACAAAGAGAAGAAAAAGAUCACAAGAGAACUUGUUCAAACCGUUUUAGCACGGAAACCUAAAAUGUGCAGCUUCCUUGAGUGGCGAGAUCUGAAGAUUGUUUACAAAAGAUAUGCUAGUCUGUAUUUUUGCUGUGCUAUUGAAGAUCAGGACAAUGAGCUAAUUACCCUGGAAAUAAUUCAUCGUUACGUGGAAUUACUUGACAAGUAUUUUGGCAGUGUGUGUGAACUUGAUAUCAUCUUUAAUUUUGAGAAGGCGUAUUUUAUUUUAGAUGAGUUUCUUUUGGGAGGGGAAGUUCAGGAAACAUCUAAGAAAAAUGUCCUUAAAGCAAUUGAGCAGGCUGAUCUACUGCAGGAGAGCCAGAAUGAAGAAUGGGGAGGUUUGUCUGAGGAUAUCUUAUGAUAAAGAGCAGUCUAAGGCUUUAGUCCCUUUGACCCCCAACUUAUUUAUUGUGCUGAUCUAGACCUACUAAAUUGAUUUCAUCAGACCUAGGAUUGGGACCUGCACAGGGACCUGCAAAGAGCAUAUUCCAAGGUUUUGGUGGCAAUUUAUUUCAUUAAAAAAUACUUCCUGAAAAAUUUCAGAGCAUUCUUUCUGUAUGUGGCCUCCACUGAUGCCAUUGGUUGCCCUGGGGGAAGUUGGCUGUUUAUGAAGCCUUGCUGCUACGGACACAGCUAAGUAAAACCUCGAGGAGGAAGACAUUUCCGUAUAUAUGUGACAAAAAAGAACAUGGAAAACAAAAUUAGGAAGCUGAAACCCCACGUAGUGUUCUUGAAGAAAUUGGACUGACAUAACUCUCCUCCCUUGUUGAUGACUUCUUGUGGCAUUUCACACACUGUAGAUGGUCACUGCCUUCAUGUCCAUGUUAGCUAAUGGUGUAAGAAAUGUCUUGUCAGUAUUACUGUUUUGCUAAGCUGCUUAACACAGGCCUACACAAUUUUUUUUAAAAAGGGAACUUUGGGUUAAUCAAAUGAUAAAUUAAGGGACUUAAAUAUGAAUUAGAAUGAUGCAGAAAGAUACUUUUUCUGGAGAUUUUAAAGUUUAUAGGUCAGUUUCUUUUAAUCUGAUUAUGUGCAUAUAUGAAAAUGACAUCUAUAUAGAUGUAAAAUCAAAUAAUCAGGCAAUAUACAUUUAUUACUGUAUUUGACAAAGGAGACUUAAAUUAUAAUGUGAAACCUGGUUUUAUGAAACCAAGCACUAGUGCAGCAUUUCAGUAUAUAUAAUAAAGGGAAUUGACAUGUCACAUAUCGAGUGAAAAUUUAACUCUGUUAAAACUUAACAAAUUUUUACCAAAGAUCUGUACUGGAAACUACAUAUCUUAAAGCAAAGGGAAUAAAUAACUAAAUUGGAAUAAUGCUGUUUUACACUAAAAUUUAUUUCUUAGGCAUUCAAACCUGGGAUGACAAACAUUGUUUCAUAAUGGUGAGCAAAUAAUUUUUAAGGCCAAGGCACAUUUGAUUCCUGAGAUGAAUUUUUUGUGGUCAUAAUCAUUUAGUUGGUUUCCUUUUGGUGCCCCCAAAUAAAGUGGGUAUGUUAUUUUACCAGGAAUUCUUCAUAAUAGUAUCUUACAGAAAAUGUGUUACUCUCUUCACAGAGUGUGGCGUGUAAAGUCACUGUUAAAGCACUAACAUUCCUUCUGGGUGCUUGUUAAAGCCAAAUUUAUUUUGCUUCCCUCUUCUUAGAAGUGCUGCAAACUUUACAACAGCUUCCUUUCCUUCCAUGGCAUUGCCUAGUUAUCAGAAGUCUUAUAUAAAUUUUAAAAAGACACCUUUCAUAUAAAAAAGUGAGUUAAGUGAGAGAAAAUGGCAUUAGUUGGCCCUAUAUUUUUUAAAGCUAUAGAAUUGUUCAGCAUCACUUUUAUACGUACUUAUACGUAUCUAAAUAUGUGUUCAUGUUUUACAUUUUCACUUGUAUAUGCUGGGCUGGAUUAAGCUUUGUUGUGAUUGUGACCAAUGUUGAGGCUACGUGAGCACUGUCUUAUCACAUCGCCAAUUAGUUAUAAUAAACGUUCAACGUACAAACAC